rnacentral:lncRNA from 1 species
CCAACGGAGAGGUAACCAACUGGGGACGACCAGGAAAAACUCGACGUUUAUCGAAACCAACGGAGAGGUAACCAGACAUUAAUGAAUGACUGGGGGGACUCGACCAGACAUCAACGGAUGAAUGGGAGAAAACUCGACGUUUACAGACAUCGGAAGAUGAUGUUUACAGACACCAAAAAGAUCGACCAGACAUUUACAGAUGAAUGGGAAUACUCGACGUUUACAGACAUCGAAAGAUGAUGUUUACAGACACCAAAAG